GCCACAUUUCCCGCACCACGCUGCGCAGCGGGGAUUCGGCGCUGGGCUCUUCCCUGUUCACUCGCUGUUACUGAGGGAAUCCUGGUUAGUUUCUUUUCCUCCGCUGACUAAUAUGCUUAAAUUCAGUGGGUCGCCAUGUCUGAUCUGAGGUCGCGCGGCGCGGAGCGGGAA